rnacentral:rRNA from 1 species
UACGUAGGCAGCGAGCGUUGUUCGGAGUUACUGGGCGUAAAGAGUGCGUAGGCGGUUUUCUAAGGUUGGGGUGAAAUCUCCCGGCUUAACUGGGAGGGUGCGCCGAAAACUGGAAGGCUUGAGUAUGGGAGAGGUAAGCGGAAUUCCUGGUGUAGCGGUGAAAUGCGUAGAUAUCAGGAGGAACACCUGCGGUGUAGACGGCUUACUGGACCAUAACUGACGCUGAGGCACGAAAGCGUGGGUAGCAAACAGG